GUAGAUGAUCAAGAACUGAGGCAGCGAAUUCUAGAUGAAAUAAAAAAUUUGCCACUCUAUGAGGAAUUACCAGUAUCAAGACCGGAAAAUAAUCUUGGAGCUAUGGAAAUAAUUGACAUUCUUGAAGACAGUUCACAACACUUGUACAGAAUAUAUCUAAGCAUGUUAGCAAAUACUUUGGCUUUAAAAGGCCAACAAAGUAUCAGAUUAUCUGCUUCACAAAGAGAAA